rnacentral:rRNA from 1 species
AACGCUGGCGGUAUGCUUAACACAUGCAAGUCGAACGGUGUCUUCGGACACAGUGGCGGACGGGUGAGUAACGCGUGAGAAUCUGGCUUCAGGUCUGGGACAACCACUGGAAACGGUGGCUAAUACCGGAUGUGCCGAGAGGUGAAAGGUUAACUGCCUGAAGAUGAGCUCGCGUCUGAUUAGCUAGUUGGAAGUGUAAUGGACUCCCAAGGCGACGAUCAGUAGCUGGUCUGAGAGGACGAUCAGCCACACUGGGACUGAGACACGGCCCAGACUCCUACGGGAGGCAGCAGUGGGGAAUUUUCCGCAAUGGGCGAAAGCCUGACGGAGCAAUACCGCGUGAGGGAGGAAGGCUCUUGGGUCGUAAACCUCUUUUCUCAGGGAAGAACACAAGACGGUA